GUCAAGUCGGCCGAGUGGUUAAGGCAGCAGACCACCGAGAGACCCAGUGGAGGGGUUGAGGUCUUCUGCUGGGGCAACCCGCGCGAGUUCGAAUCUUGCACUUGGCA